ensembl:lncRNA
GCCUAAUUGGUAGCAUGAAUGUGACUCCCUUGAGAAUAGAGAUAGAAAGAAACCAGACAGACACAGAGACAGAUAUUUUGCUGAAAAGCUGAAAAAAUUUCCUGAGUUGCACAGAGCCUUUUUAUGCUGAUUUCCCUCUGCUUCUGAUGGACGCUAUUUGCUGUAUACUCUGCUCCUGUUGCUUCUCUUGCUUCCUUAGCUUCCCAGACUGACAGCAACAUUUGUUUCUGAUAGUUUGAAUCAGUGUCAAAGAGUCUGAGACCAGCAGCAGGUAGAUUAGAGGGGUUAUCAUCUUCCUGUGGGCAGAGUUUUGGCACUGCAAUUUACCAGGAUUUUUGCAGCAAUAUGCAGGCUGCAUCCCUUGUUAAGACUUCCCAAAUGGCAGGCUUUUUCCAGUGGACAGUAACUAAGGAAACAUGAGAACCAACACCUGCUGUACUGCUGAGUCUGAACCCAGAACAAACGCGCACACUGGGAGUGAAUGAAAAGUGGAAUUAUGUGGAGAAGCAAUGCUUGCUGAGGCAUCAAUUGAAUUAUAGAAGCAAGCAACCUAUAUUGAUCCUUUCUUCUGUAUUUUAAGAAAAGCUUUUGUCAGGGGCAUCAAAUUAAAAUCUCUAUAAUGAUUGACAGUGUAUUGUUAUUUCAUGUCUUAUAAGAAAGUGGAUUCUGUAAUAAAUAACACAC